GAGCGGCGGACGGGUGAGUAAUGCCUAGGAAUCUGCCUGGUAGUGGGGGAUAACGUUCGGAAACGGACGCUAAUACCGCAUACGUCCUACGGGAGAAAGCAGGGGACCUUCGGGCCUUGCGCUAUCAGAUGAGCCUAGGUCGGAUUAGCUAGUUGGUGGGGUAAUGGCUCACCAAGGCGACGAUCCGUAACUGGUCUGAGAGGAUGAUCAGUCACACUGGAACUGAGACACGGUCCAGACUCCUACGGGAGGCAGCAGUGGGGAAUAUUGGACAAUGGGCGAAAGCCUGAUCCAGCCAUGCCGCGUGUGUGAAGAAGGUCUUCGGAUUGUAAAGCACUUUAAGUUGGGAGGAAGGGCAGUAAAUUAAUACUUUGCUGUUUUGACGUUACCGACAGAAUAAGCACCGGCUAACUCUGUGCCAGCAGCCGCGGUAAUACAGAGGGUGCAAGCGUUAAUCGGAAUUACUGGGCGUAAAGCGCGCGUAGGUGGUUAGUUAAGUUGGAUGUGAAAUCCCCGGGCUCAACCUGGGAACUGCAUUCAAAACUGACUGACUAGAGUAUGGUAGAGGGUGGUGGAAUUUCCUGUGUAGCGGUGAAAUGCGUAGAUAUAGGAAGGAACA
rnacentral:rRNA from 1 species